rnacentral:lncRNA from 1 species
CCCCCACCCCAGCAACGACAGCAGCACCAGCAGCACAGCAGUGCUUUACAACUUGGUACACAGCCAUGCCACAACGCGGAUGCGCGCAUCUGUAGCCAUGUCAGCCAGGCAUUGUCACCGUGCAUGAAGAGGAGCAGUGCACGCGUCGCGACCCACACCGAACCACCCCCCUGCACCUACGGCCCCCCACCACCACACUGUGCCCACAAACUCACACCCCUCCCCGCUGGUUAUGGCAGGCUAAUGUACAUGCCUUUCCGCGCGGGGCACUCCCGCCCAUCGUCCGUUUGCUCUCAGCUUCCUCUCGUGCUCACUGCCGCUAAAGCCAUCACGCACACGCCGGCCUCUCGCUCUCAAGCCCGACCCAACACCUCAUCAUCCAAGCGCCUAUGCUGAUCGAAACCCACGUGCGAAAGCCCUGCGCGCAAUACCCCAGUCAAUAGCGGGCAGUCGCCACGGCGUGCCGCGCCCACGGAUGGCGCAUUACCGCACCUCCGCUUGCACCGCAUUAGUGGGUGUGUGAUGGGACAGGGUUUAGGCAGGUUGGCGAGGUCCCGUAGGGUGCAGCUGAUGCCCAUAUCCCAAGCAGACGGCAGACAGUUUGCAGUGGCAGAGCAGAAGUGCAUGGCUGGUCGAACGCCGGAGUUACUGUACCGACAAGUUGCUGGCUGGCUGGAAGUUUGCUGAUGCGCAUUCCUCACGCUCUGGGCGCCCCGCCAGGCGAUAGCACCACACAGACACACCGCAACGCCACACUCGCGAUGCAGAGCCGCAGCGCACCUGCAGGAAGAUGGCCAGCGUCCACGGAUGAGCACCAGAGGCAACCGCAGAGAAAAUGCAGACAGAGUGCAGCAAAGCAGUGGCCGGGCGACAGUGUGACAAGCAGGGGCGAAAACAGGGCGAGGCAAGGCAGAAAAGGGAGCCCGAAUGUACGGAUAAGUGGCGGGCGAGAACCGCAUUAGUGGGUACUACCACAUACUAGGCACGCAAGCCAGGAACCCGUGUGCCCCUGUGCCCAUGCGGCGGCGGCGGCAGCGGCGACAGCGACGCAGGCACGUAUCCUCCACACCCGCCACGCACCAGCAUCAGCCCCCUCCAAAACCCCGCUCCAUCACUACCACACGCACGCGCCUUGGUGAGAGAAAUGCGUGUGUGUUUGUGUGCGUGUGUGAUUGUGUGCAUGUGUGAGCGUCGGCAAAUGCCAAGCCCGAAUGCAAACGUACGGCACCCGCCGGGAAAAAAACUGGUCUGGUCUGGUGAUACGCAGAACCGCGCGUACGGCGUCCCGCCGCGCGUGGCAAAGUCGCAACGCUCUUCACACGCGUGCGUGCUGCCGUACCGGGCGCCACGCUAUGCCGUACUCAGCCAUGUCACCGUGCCCGACACGCAAACAGUCCGUGGGGGAGAGCCAUGCGCAGCCCCCCCUCAAUAGCCAUGCUAAUCCCGUGAAGAGCCAUCAUGCAAGCCCACUGCGGUGCGCAGGGGCACAAAACUUGAGCAGCAGCAUGUGCAGCAGCAGCAGCAGCAGCCAACAAGACGCACACACGUACACGCGUGCGUGCUGCCUGCCUGGCCCAGCGCGCGUAUCUUACGAAGGCAGGGGCGGCGUCAGUGGCCGAAUUCCUUAAAAUGGCUUCGUUUAGUUGACGAAACAGGCUGCCGCCGCUUCGUUCACCCCCAAAAUUUUUCCGGGGGCUCCGCCCCCGACCCGCACGAUGUCGACACCGACACGACACGUUCCCUGCUUCCCGCCGACCCAACCUCACUCUCCCGCCAGGGGAAACCCUGUCUCCCGCCGUCAACACCCAUAGAUACAGCCCUUUGAGCCUUCUUACCAUACGCCACGCAGGUUUCGGCCGUGGAGUAGCCGCUGGAACCCCCUGUCCUUGGUAAAAAGUGGCCGAAAUCCCAAAAAUGUCUUCGUCUGUUUGCCGAAAGACCCCCCAAGAGCCCGUGCGUUUUGGCCGAAAUUCCAAGUCAAAAUCAAAAAAAUUUCGUCCGCCAGAGGCCUUCUUGGGCAAAUUUCGUUCCGAACGAAGGAAGAUACGAGCGCUGGCCUGGCCGCCUGCCUACAAAUGUGGAAUGUCACCGGGGCCGCAUCUGCCGGCCCGGCCUGACCUCGGGUGAAUCAUGAACGCAAGCCCACUCCGCCAUCCGCUCUGGUCUGCGUACGCAUUAGUUCCGCAACACUCGUCAUUAAUCACGAUGGUGGUGCGAGAGGCAGGUUUGACAUAGUGUGUUGCUCGCAUACCGUACGUGGCUCGUGGGGGGUGUGAAAACCAAGCGAUGGGACAGGGGCAGGGGCAGGUUGGCGUAGUCCCGUAGUGUGCAGCGGACAACCAGACCCCAACAUUCAAUUUGCAACGCCAAGGCCAGAUUGCGCGUUUUGGUGCUGGGCAGUGCCUGCCUGUUGUGGUGCGCGUCGCCACGCGCUCGCUGGCCGUUGGGCUUCCUGUCGUGUCAGCAGGUGAACCCCUGCGUGUAUUUGCCCUCGGCCACCCCUGCUCUCGGAUGUUCGUGUCGAUUCCGUCCCUUCCCUGUCAGCCCGGCUCCUUCUGAUCAGCUCAUCAACCGGCUGUUACAGCGGAGGCCGACAGCUAGCCUGCACAGCUGCACUGCAACACCCAUGCACACCACAGGUGCUACAGCCCCAUCACGCUGCCUGGCACGCACACAGCACAGGUUGCAAGGCCGUACGUAGCGAAUACUUGUCCACCAAUGCGACAGGCGUGCUGUUUGCCACCAUAGAGCAGUGCGCCACAUUUUCCGCCACUGUAAGUCGGUAGGUUACCGUAUAAGACUGGUGCCGGCCAGCUGCACGGCCUCUCGCAGCUAAAACCUGCUGGGCCCCCUUUCAUCUGUCAUCACUACGUGGGGUUAGAGGCGGAGGACCGGAGGCCCCGAAGGGGCCGGAGGGAAUGAAGCCUCUAAGCGAGCUUCCAUGAGGAAGUCGUACAGGCUGGCUCUCUUUGGCGCCAGCCUCCUCUCUCUUCUUCAUUCCGCCUUCAUAGUGAGAGCUUUUAACGUUACUUCUAACGUUCUCACUCAAGUGCCCGCCCUUCUUUCCCGCCCCUCUUUUUCGGCUAAUCUCCCCUCCGCGCAGGAUCGCUCGGCCCUUCCGGCGCCGGCGCCUCCGGCAUCCGUGCUGUUGCCUCGGUGUCGCCGCCGGUUCGCGCGGCCGCCGGCCCUCGGCCCGCCGCCGUGGUUUUGGCGGCGCCGCCGGCUGGCGGCUUGGCCGCUGGCGCGGUGGCGCCUUUGGCGGCGCCCCGGGCGCUGGUGCUUCGUGGCGUGGGCCGCUCGUCUCGCCGGGGCGUCACGCGUGGCGUGCGGGUUGCUCGUGGUGUUCGGCUCGCCGUGUCGGGCCGUCGGCGUUCGAGUUAGCUUGUUGGCUGCGCUUUGGUUGCGGUGGCUCCGUUCUGAGGCUGUGUUGUUGUUUGCUGCUGAUGGCCCUCACCAUCCCCCCUGCGGGUCCCCGCCGACCCCUGCUCCCCCUCGCAGAACUAGGCCUGCGGGCGCGGGCGCUGCUGCCCGGUAGCCACGCCGCGGACACGGAGUGCCAGGCGCUGGCCGCGCAGCUGGCCGAGGAGGCACCGCUGUCUCGGCGGCCGGCGACGCACAGCCAGUAUGGCGGCCCGUGGCGCAGCUUCCUGGCCUGGUGCCGGCGGCGCGCCCCGCCGGUCCCACCCUACGCCGCCUCGCCGCAGCUGGUCGCCCUCUAUCUGCAAUCGGUCCUCAACUCGGCCACCGCGGACGGGUCCGGCCCUAGCCGAGUCGACGUAGCUGGCAAGGCCAUCGCCUUCCACUACAGCCUGGCGGGCCUGCCCAACCCAGCCGCAGCGGAAAGCUGCGCAAACGUGCGCGCCACCGCGGCCCGGCGGCUGCAGGUGCAGCGCUUGCACCGGGAGGCCAUGUCCGCCGCCGACCUGGCGGCGGUCCUGUGCGCCCACGCCGGGCCCGGCGCCCCGCUGCUGCGCCUCAUGAUGGCCACGACCGUGGCCCUCAUGUUCUACGGUUUCCUGCGGUUUGACGACAUGGCGGAGGUCAGCGUUCACGCCGACCUGCUGCUCAUCACGCCCCGCCACAUGGCCAUUUUCAUCCCCCGGUCCAAGACCGACGUGGCCAUGGACGGUCAGUGGGUGCACAUCGCCCGGCUGCCCCACCUAGGCGGUUUCUGCCCCGUGGCGCUCACGGAGCGGCUGCUGCGCCAAGGCGCCUACCGCCGCCUUCCGGCGGCGGCCGAUGAGGACGUCGGGCCGCUGCUCCGUACGGUGCAGUACACGGCCGCCGGCGGCCGGCUGCAGCGCCUGGUGGGCACGCGGGCUUCGCCGGUGUUCAGCAUGUCUUACGGCGCUUUCCGCUCCAACUUCCUGGCCCGCCUGCGGGAGGCGGGCGUCUCGGGCAACAUCAAGCCGCACUCGAUGCGCAUUGGUGGCAACAGCGCCGCGGCUGACGCGGGAGUUCCGGCGUCCCUGCGGCAGGUGCAUGGCCGCUGGAAGCCCGCCACUAUGGUCGGUCACUACACACGCCCCACCCUCGAGGACACCCUCGGUGUCACCCGCGCUAUGGGCCUCGCUGGAGGUGAGGUAUCUCUUCGUUUUUCCGCUUGUAAGGCCCUCCUCCUGUGGCCUGUCGUCCCCUUGUCCCACUUCCUUGUCAGCUGUCAGCGGCCUAAUGGCGCCAAAGGGAGACAGCUUUACAGUACGACUGUAUCAUGGAAGUGGGGUUAGAGGCGGAGGACCGGAGGCCCCGAAGGGGCCGGAGGGAAUGAAGCCUCUAAGCGAGCUUCCAUGAGGAAGUCGUACAGGCUGGCUCUCUUUGGCGCCAGCCUCCUCUCUCUUCUUCAUUCCGCCUUCAUAGUGAGAGCUUUUAACGUUACUUCUAACGUUCUCACUCAAGUGCCCGCCCUUCUUUCCCGCCCCUCUUUUUCGGCUAAUCUCCCCUCCGCGCAGGAUCGCUCGGCCCUUCCGGCGCCGGCGCCUCCGGCAUCCGUGCUGUUGCCUCGGUGUCGCCGCCGGUUCGCGCGGCCGAGACAGCUUUACAGUACGACUGUAUCAUGGAACCGACUCCCGUACGCACGUCAAACUCUCAGAAUCCCCAUGCAUUCCAACCUUUCCAAACCGCAAUGAACUGGCGCAUACUCAAGUACUUGUCCGUUCGUUCACCAGCACACGUCGCUACGUUGCAUCAGUCCUCUACUACGUAGGUCAGUAGGUAUACAAGCAGCGGCCCCUGCUCUGGCCCGCCGGGCCCUCCUCUGGGUUGGUCUCCGGCACGGACACAGCCAUGCCGGAGGAGAAAAGUUUCAUUGCUCCAACGCAGCAAUAUGGACCCAAGUAUGGUCCUUGCAUGUGUUACAGCUGCUGGCGCAGCUGCUUACGUGGGGCACGCGCUCCAGCAAGCCGGCCGCUCCGUCAAGGACAGCUUGGAGCGCGCCGGGCUGCAGACCGUGCAGACCGUGCAGCAUACCGUAUGCAAGAACACGGGCCACAUUUCAGUUCUCCGGCCAAGAAGGAGAAGUCGGCCAAGGAUGCGUGAGCGGGUGAAGGGCCAGAGACGCUUCAUUAGCGUGUACCACGCCGUUCCAGCAGCAAUACAUGGUGGGUGGGGAUGGCCACACGAUGUCGUGCUGGGCCUUGUCCUGCUAACGACGACGAGCUCAUCCAGUCCCAAGGCCCAGCACGACAAGUGGCUAUCCACGCUCACCACGUAUUGCUGCUGGAACGGCUUGGUGCACGCAAAUGAAGCGCCUCUGGCCCUUCACCAGCUCACGCAUCCUUGGCCGGCUUCUCCUUCUUGGCCGGAGAACUGACAUGUGGCCCAUGCUCUUGCAUAUGCUGCACGGUCUGCAGCCCGGCGCGCUCUAAGCUGUCCUUAAUGGAGCGGCCGGCUUGCUGGAGCGAGUGUCCGACGUAAGCAACCGCGCCGGAAGCGGUAACACACGCGAGGAUCACAUUUGGGUCCAUAUUGCUGCAAUGGUGCAAGACAUCUUUCGUUCAGGCCUCCUCCCUGCUAAAAGAACUCCUGCUGCCAGAUGCUUACCACCUUGCAAGAGUUGUCAGCGUUGGCUUCUGUGAGGUAUUCAGGUUGCUUGUGAACAAAAAUCAGCUUGCCUGUACUUGUUCUGCACGGGUUUGUCCCCUCUAGCCUCUAGGUCGCCCCGUUUGCGAUCGCGAUCGGGCCGAUGGGCCGAUGGGCUGCGCCCCCCCCCCCCCCCCCCCUAAAAGGUAUAAGUGCGCCCCACCCCAGCAACAACGGGAGCACCAGCACAGCAGUGCUUUACAACUUGGUACACAGCCGUGCCACAACGCGGAUGCGAGCCCUGACAGCCAGGCAUUGCCACCGUGCGUGAAGUGGAGCAGUGCACGCGUCGCGACCCACACCGAACCACCCCCCUGCACCUGCGGCCCCCCCACCACCACACUGUGCCCACAAACUCACACCCUUCCCCUCUGGUUAUGGCCGGCUGAGGUACAUGCCUUUCCGCG